rnacentral:rRNA from 1 species
ACCGGGGGAUAACAGCUGGAAACGGCUGCUAAUACCGCAUAAGCGCACAGAGCUGCAUGGCUCGGUGUGAAAAACUCCGGUGGUAUGGGAUGGGCCCGCGUCUGAUUAGGCAGUUGGCGGGGUAACGGCCCACCAAACCGACGAUCAGUAGCCGGCCUGAGAGGGCGACCGGCCACAUUGGGACUGAGACACGGCCCAAACUCCUACGGGAGGCAGCAGUGGGGAAUAUUGCACAAUGGGGGAAACCCUGAUGCAGCGACGCCGCGUGAGCGAAGAAGUAUUUCGGUAUGUAAAGCUCUAUCAGCAGGGAAGAUAAUGACGGUACCUGACUAAGAAGCCCCGGCUAACUACGUGCCAGCAGCCGCGGUAAUACGUAGGGGGCAAGCGUUAUCCGGAUUUACUGGGUGUAAAGGGAGCGUAGACGGCAAGGCAAGUCUGAUGUGAAAACCCAGGGCUUAACCCUGGGACUGCAUUGGAAACUGUCUGGCUCGAGUGCCGGAGAGGUAAGCGGAAUUCCUAGUGUAGCGGUGAAAUGCGUAGAUAUUAGGAAGAACACCAGUGGCGAAGGCGGCUUACUGGACGGUAACUGACGUUGAGGCUCGAAAGCGUGGGGAGCAAACAGGAUUAGAUACCCUGGUAGUCCACGCCGUAAACG